GUUCUGCUCUUCCUCCGACAGCCACGCAGCGAGCUCACGAGGCAGCCUCCACACAUAAUGAAAGCAAACGCCACCAUAAAUCUCCCGCUCGGCGGAGGUCACUUCAGAAAAAUCGCCCGCUGCUCAGAUAAGCACCAGCUUUGCUGAGGAACAUGGAAGGGGGAAAACACCGACUGUGAUAAACACCAGCAGCUCCCUGCCUUCCACCUCCCUGCUGCAAAAUGGAUCAAUCUAUAAUAAGUAGUAGUUAUAUAUCAUAAGGCAGCAAUUCCUUUUAGUUGUUCCACUAUAAAAAAGCAUCCAGAUUUAGAACUUGACAGGAACCAGUAUCGCCUGCCCCCCAGAGCCGGCAGAAAGUCUGUGUAUGUCAUUCAGCCAGCAUGGAGUCUGGGUGUUUUAAAAGCUUUAAUUUGAAGGGGAUAAAAAACCUGGGCGUUAAGCAAUUUGGCUGUGGAUAUUUAAUGCAUCAGCCACGCUAUAGAAUUGGAGUCCUCUAUUUAAAAUGAGAAAUUGAAAACUUACACGCUCUGUAGGCAAGGUGUAAGUAAAUGUAGGAUGGUAAGCAGAAAUCAGCUGAGAACCUGCAGAAACGCCAUUAGAAGGACUAAUGGCAUGGUUCAGAAGUGGCCUUAAACAAAUGCUAGGGUGUCGUUUGUAAGUGUGUAAAACAGGUCUGGCUUUUAAUUAGCAGGAGCCAUAUCUCCCUGUGUUUAGGAAAAGGCAUUACUUCUCAAAGAGAAUAUCCUAACGGGGUCUACAUAGGGACCAGGAGGAAACAAUGGCCCGGGAGUUGAGAUUUGCCUCAAGGCACGUUCCUCCUCAAUGGCAGCGUGGAGAUUGGAACUCAGUCUCCUUAUCUCUAAUUUCCACUCUAACACACUUAUUGUAGGUAGAAAAAAUGCAUCCCAAAGAUGUCUACUUCUUACUCCCCAGAACCUGUACAUACAGCACCUUACAUGGCAAAAGUGACUUUGCAGAUACGAUUGAGUUAAGGGUUUUGAGAUAGGGAGAUUACCAGGUGGCCCAACGGAAUCACAAGGGGCCUGAUAAGUAUGAGAGGGAGCAGAAGAGUGAGGGUCAGAGUCAGAGAGAGACUGGAAGAUGCUAUACCACUGGCUUUGAAGAUGAAGGAGGGGGACACAAGCCAAGGAAUGCAGGCAGCCUCUAAAUGCAGGAAAAGGUUUACUCCAUUCAUUAGAGGAGAUGACAGAACUCUUGACAGCAAUGCUAUCAAGAAGGAAGUUUCAGUUUAAGAACCCCUCUGGGCUUGCAGAAUGACACACACUGCAGCCAAGAUGGUGCUACUAUAAGAAAUGGACUCCCCAGCACGUUAUUGAAGAAAAAAAAAACCUGCAGCAAUCAAAAAAAAAAGGGGGGACGGGGGCAAAUCUAUAACUUCAGCUGGAAGUGAUGAAAAUUAACUGUUAGAAGUAGAAGAGACCUUAUGCUACUAAAAUAAUAAUCAUCACUUCAAAUAUUUCCUGCUCUUGAAAUAUUUUGUCAGUGCCCUGUGAUAUCGGGAAAUAAAGUUACGUUCAUUUCCA
rnacentral:lncRNA from 1 species